rnacentral:sRNA from 1 species
GCUGGGCAUAGUGGUGUAUGCCUGUAAUUCCAGUGACUUGGGAGACUGAGGUAGGAGGAUUGCAAGUUCAAGGCCAGCCUCAGCUAUUUAGUGAGCCCCUCAGCAACUUAGUGAGACCCUGUCUCAA